GAGGGUAUAGCUCAAGUGGUAGAGCGAGUGCUUAGCAUGCAUGAGGUCCUGGGUUCAAUCCCCAGUACCUCCU
rfam:Camelus ferus unplaced genomic scaffold scaffold715, whole genome shotgun sequence.